rnacentral:rRNA from 1 species
UGCUUCUCUUGAGAGCGGCGGACGGGUGAGUAAUGCCUAGGAAUCUGCCUGGUAGUGGGGGAUAACGUUCGGAAACGGACGCUAAUACCGCAUACGUCCUACGGGAGAAAGCAGGGGACCUUCGGGCCUUGCGCUAUCAGAUGAGCCUAGGUCGGAUUAGCUAGUUGGUGGGGUAAUGGCUCACCAAGGCGACGAUCCGUAACUGGUCUGAGAGGAUGAUCAGUCACACUGGAACUGAGACACGGUCCAGACUCCUACGGGAGGCAGCAGUGGGGAAUAUUGGACAAUGGGCGAAAGCCUGAUCCAGCCAUGCCGCGUGUGUGAAGAAGGUCUUCGGAUUGUAAAGCACUUUAAGUUGGGAGGAAGGGUUGUAGAUUAAUACUCUGCAAUUUUGACGUUACCGACAGAAUAAGCACCGGCUAACUCUGUGCCAGCAGCCGCGGUAAUACAGAGGGUGCAAGCGUUAAUCGGAAUUACUGGGCGUAAAGCGCGCGUAGGUGGUUUGUUAAGUUGGAUGUGAAAUCCCCGGGCUCAACCUGGGAACUGCAUUCAAAACUGACUGACUAGAGUAUGGUAGAGGGUGGUGGAAUUUCCUGUGUAGCGGUGAAAUGCGUAGAUAUAGGAAGGAACACCAGUGGCGAAGGCGACCACCUGGACUAAUACUGACACUGAGGUGCGAAAGCGUGGGGAGCAAACAGGAUUAGAUACCCUG